rnacentral:lncRNA from 1 species
GGUGAGUCUGAAUUCUUAAGGUACAGUGGAUGAUUAUGAGGCAACUUAUCGAUUUCAUCUUCUGCCAUUGUUGUUACUUCGAGCUCUGAAAAUGCCUAUUUCCAAAUUCGUGAUGCAACAACAACGAUCGAUUAAUCACUGCUCUGAUACCAUAUUAAUUUGGAAUGAAUCUACAGAAUUUAAACUGAAAUAUCACAUGCAACAUCAAUCUAGCUCAAAUCCAUGAAUCCAUCAGAGAGAAAAAUGGAAGGGAGAAAACCAGAACUCUUUUUUUCUC